GUGGGGAAUAUUGGACAAUGGGGGGAACCCUGAUCCAGCCAUGCCGCGUGUGUGAAGAAGGUCUUCGGAUUGUAAAGCACUUUAAGUUGGGAGGAAGGGUAGUAACCUAAUACGUUGCUACUUUGACGUUACCGACAGAAUAAGCACCGGCUAACUUCGUGCCAGCAGCCGCGGUAAUACGAAGGGUGCCAGCGUUAAUCGGAAUUACUGGGCGUAAAGCGCGCGUAGGUGGUUCAGUAAGUUGGAAGUGAAAUCCCCGGGCUCAACCUGGGAACUGCUUUCAAAACUGCUGAGCUAGAGUACGGUAGAGGGUGGUGGAAUUUCCUGUGUAGCGGUGAAAUGCGUAGAUAUAGGAAGGAACACCAGUGGCGAAGGCGACCACCUGGACUGAUACUGACACUGAGGUGCGAAAGCGUGGGGAGCAAACAGGAUUAGAAACCCGAGUAGUCC
rnacentral:rRNA from 1 species